rnacentral:rRNA from 1 species
UACUGAGGUGGCAAGCGUUGUCCGGAUCUAUUGGGCGUAAAGCGAGCGCAGGCGGUUUCUUAAGUCUGAUGUGAAAGCCCCCGGCUCAACCGGGGAGGGUCAUUGGAAACUGGGAGACUUGAGUGCAGAAGAGGAGAGUGGAAUUCCAUGUGUAGCGGUGAAAUGCGUAGAUAUAUGGAGGAACACCAGUGGCGAAGGCGGCUCUCUGGUCUGUAACUGACGCUGAGGCUCGAAAGCGUGGGGAGCAAACAGG